rnacentral:rRNA from 1 species
AUUGAACGCUGGCGGCAGGCCUAACACAUGCAAGUCGAGCGGAUGAAGGGAGCUUGCUCCUGGAUUCAGCGGCGGACGGGUGAGUAAUGCCUAGGAAUCUGCCUGGUAGUGGGGGAUAACGUCCGGAAACGGGCGCUAAUACCGCAUACGUCCUGAGGGAGAAAGUGGGGGAUCUUCGGACCUCACGCUAUCAGAUGAGCCUAGGUCGGAUUAGCUAGUUGGUGGGGUAAAGGCCUACCAAGGCGACGAUCCGUAACUGGUCUGAGAGGAUGAUCAGUCACCUUGAACUUGAGAACCGUCCAGACUCCUACGGGAGGCAGCAGUGGGGAAUAUUGGACAAUGGGCGAAAGCCUGAUCCAGCCAUGCCGCGUGUGUGAAGAAGGUCUUCGGAUUGUAAAGCACUUUAAGUUGGGAGGAAGGGCAGUAAGUUAAUACCUUGCUGUUUUGACGUUACCAACAGAAUAAGCACCGGCUAACUUCGUG